AGCAGAUACACACAACGUGACAAAUGUUAUAGCCUGUAAAAUUAUUUUAAUCAGUAUUAAUUGCAUGAAGAAAUGCCCAUCAUCAGACUUAGUGGAACAUAUUUAACCGUGUCCAAACAGAACAAGUGAUGUAUUAAUGACAGAAGGAAACAACCAAACAACAAAAACACAUUGAAGUGCAUUAACAAUCUAAGUAAACCUAAAGAGAUUACGUUUAAUAAAUAAUUACGUACAAAGAAUUCAUUUCUACAUUUAUAAACAAGUGAGAGGAAAACCAACAAAUGAUCAAGACAUCACCGGCCACUGUUUGCUUUUUUUGAAUUUUUUUUUUUUUAUUAUUCCAAAUAAGUUACAAACAAAUCCGUAGUAUAGAAGUGUACUUAGUACCAAAACAAUAUAGGAUUCGCUGCGGUCACAUAGGUGUGUGGCUAUAUCAUAUGUAAGUAUAUUACACGUGCAUAUGUUACACAUACAUAUAUACACACACCUACAUGUAUGACAGCACAUAUAUACAUACAGUACAACUCACAGUCACAUCAUGCAGUCACACACGUAGACACCGAGGUCUAAACUUAAUGCUACGAGUUAUUUUCAUGUUUCUCCCACCAACAGAAAUGAUGUGGACACUCAAGUUUGGAAGGAAACUGGAAACUAUCUUUCACGCGACACCACAGAUGUCCGGAUCCUUUCCUUGCAGCAUAUUGCAAAGUAGUGCUUUUUUUGUUUUUGUUUGUUUUAGAUAGGCGUGAACACCUUUGAGACAAAAAGUGAAGUCUGAGUGUUGAAAAUCAAAGCAGCUCUUAGGGACAAGACUAUAUACAGCAGAGACGUUAUUUCAAGUCCAUGAUUAGUGACAAAGAAGCAAAACCUAACCCUAGAAAAAAGACAUCAGAAGACACCAUAAUAUAUGGAAAAGGUGCACCAGUAAGACCUUUGGCCCUGACUUGAAUUAGGCUCUUGCACAGUAACAUAAAUACAAGCCAUGGCCCUUUCACACUGUUCAUGAAGACCCAAUCUUGAGCGCACAUAUCAAAAUGACAAUAGAGCACAGCUCGACCUGCAGAAUAAGUAGUUAAUGCGAUAUAAAAGGUUGGAGUUUACAUACCGGUGUUUAUAGAGUGUGAUGCUGACAUUAUGUCAGACCGAGUGACUGCAGAGCUCGAAAUAAAAACAGAGGCAUCUGUUUAAGACUGAACUGGCAACACAGUGCAGCAUCACACUCAGGAAGAGUGGGCUGACUGAAGCAUAUCGGCCACUAAAAACCGACGUGGCAUGAGUGGGAUAUCAAACCAUUUAUGCAACGUCUGUGAAACUGCACGGUCCAGUAUCAAAAAAAACAGCAUCACGUGCAGAUGGAGAGAUGAGCUGUCCACAAAUCCUUUGCCACUUUCACUGUUUUCUUUACUUUUUUU
ensembl:lncRNA